rnacentral:rRNA from 1 species
GACGUAGGGCGCGAGCGUUGUCCGGAUUUAUUGGGCGUAAAGAGCUCGUAGGCGGCUUGUCGCGUCGUCCGUGAAAACCCGCAGCUCAACUGUGGGCUUGCAGCUGAUACGGGCGGGCUGGAGUUCGGUAGGGGAGACUGGAAUUCCUGGUGUAGCGGUGAAAUGCGCAGAUAUCAGGAGGAACACCGGUGGCGAAGGCGGGUCUCUGGGCCGAUACUGACGCUGAGGAGCGAAAGCGUGGGGAGCGAACAGG